GCCGGCAUAGCUCAGCAGGAAGAGCGGCUGCCUUGUAAACAGCAGGUCAUCGGUUCGAUUCCGAUUGUCGGCUCAA
rnacentral:tRNA from 1 species